CGUUGCAACCGAGUCUGAAACAUGGUUAAUUGCUCUGCUGUGAGACGAGUCAGAGCGCCGACUGAAUCGAUGUGGUUUAAUGGAUGCGGUGCGACGUCUGAAACGAGGUAGCGCGCGAGUUUGCAUGCGUUCUGACGUGGAAGGCCCAAGUCAUGCAUGGCAUCGCCGUCGCUAGGCCAUGCAUGGAUGCGAAAGCGGGCGCCCUGCAAAAGCAGCCCAAAGCUUACACGGAUGCGUUGCACAACGGGCCAACUGGUGUCUUGCCGACCAACCAAUCCAAGCACAGAACGAGCAUCUCGCGGAUCGCUGUGGCUGAGCCGAUCACAACCGCCUUCUAGAAGGCCUCGAUUCAACAGCCUAGGUCGAAUCUCUGGGUUUCCUUCUAGAAGCUUUUCGGCUGGGUCAACAUGGUUAUGUGAGGGUUGACCAAGUAUGAAAUGAGCAUACGUAAUUAAAAAAAUCGAAAAAAUAUAAAACCGACGCACAUAGUACAGGUGGGUUUUAAAACUUUGAAAAUGAAAAAAGUCAAAACCUCACUAUUUAUAUUUGAAAAUGAAAACAGCCCAGAUUAGCAUUGCGCGCAUUCCUCGUCGUCGUCACGGCUGUGUCCCCCAAUUCUCCACAGCAUUCCGCGGCAAGCCCAAAUUGAGCUCCCAGGUUGCCGCCCCAUUCGAAUCAAUGUAGCCAUCAAAUUGAAGCCUCUCAAUAUACGCAUCCAUCCACUCGAAAUGGUCACAUUUCUUCAGGAUCUGGAAAAAGCAACACGAACCCUAAAUCCCAAAUUCGACUACAAAAACCGAAAUGGGGAGAAACUAGAGCAAAUCGGUGCGAAAUAAGUGAAAUCUAACCCUCCUAUCCCGUCCUACCAGUGUCUUGCUCGAGCAUCUCACAAACUCACGCCCAAGAUUGUCGUUUUGAUCAGUCUUACUGACUCACCGCUUCAGAGGAUUUGGGCGUGGGCAAUCAGGGCACCUUGUCAUUGGCACUGCACCAUACCGUUGCCAUCUUGACUGCGAGGCGGAGGAGGUAGACAUCUCUCUCUCGUUGCCGCGCUUCGUCGUCGGAGAAGAGGAAGAUAGGGGAAAGGGGGAAGAAAUUGCACGGGGUCGGGCGGCCGGGCACGGGCAUGGUUCUGGUAUAGCUGCGGUGAGGUGGGUCCCACGCUGACAUGGAUAAGUGGUGGGUCUAGCUGCGGUGAGGUGGGUCCCGUGCUGACAUGGAUAAGUGGUGGGUCUAGCUACGGUGAGGUGGAUCCAGCGCAGUUAGUUGGAUAUGUCCCACACUUACGUGGAUAAGUGAUGGUGGGUCCAACGUUCUGUGGUCUCACAUAAUCCUAACAUCAUACAUCAGUUGCGUUUAAACAGCAUGUCGCACCUGGGCUAUUUGUGCUCAAAAAACGCCGCACUUGAGCCAUUCCAGCGAAAAACGUCAUUGUCCAUCAAUUUCACCUCAACGAUGUCGCACGGGAGCUAUUUGCCCUUCAUUGUACAUAGCCUCAAGUGCCUUGUUUUGCCAGUAGUCCGUACAGCUCCAGCUGGUUCCUUUCCUCAGCUUUGCUCCACAAUCCGGGAGGUGGACCAACGAUCCUCUGCCCCUCCGCUACAUCAUCCCCAUUCAAUUAUUGGCUCCAAUCAAAGCUUCUUGCUUUUGUGUAGAGGAGCGAGAAGCAACCAUUGUCCAAUGCUUAUGCAGAAAGCUCGGAGCCGCCGGAGACAACAUUAGCAAGAAUGGUUUUCAAUCAUACCCGAUUUGUUGCCCAAGUACAUCUGUGAAAAAAAGGCACCACAUCAUGGUCCAAAUUGGUGGACGACGGGAUGGCAGCGGCAAGACAACAUUAGCAAAAAUGGUUUACAACCAUACCUGAUUCAAAGGCUACUCUCAGGUCUGGGUCGAGUGCUCGGGGAAUUUUUACUUGCAUCAGAUAGGGAAGUCCAUAAUUUCUCACGUAUCAGGGGAAGAGAUCAACAACGGUUCCGAUGACAACAUGGAGUAUGUGAGCAAGCGCCUUCACCAGUUACUUGACAAUGGUAUUAAGGUACUUGUUUUAGAUGGCAUAUGGCUAUCAUGGCAUGAUUGCAAAGAGUUGCAGGGUAUGUUAAGGGGAAGGGACAAUCGUGGUGAGGUAAUCUUGAUAGCAACGGACAGUGGAGAAAUGUAUUUUCAGAGAUACAGUGAAUGGAGUGACGACAUGUGCUGGACAAUAAGUUUGCAACCUGGUUCACUAUGAACCGUAAGAUGCAUGGCUUUGCGAAACAAGUUAUGCUUCAGAUAUAGAUACAGAGACAUCUUAUGGGCAGGAAUCGUUCUCUAAUAAAGACUGCCACUAUGUACUGCUUACUGAUUUGAAGUUGUCCAGUAAAUUAUCUGCCCACAUAAGGGCGCUAAGUUAUGUGGGCUCUGGCAAAAUGGAGCUCAGCGAUUAUUUGUUUUAAUUUUCCAGGUGCCAGUGUCUAUUAGAUUUAAAUGACAGCUCAAUGCUGAACUUACCAAAUUCUGUCUGUCAGUUGAGGCAUUUGGGAUAUCUUAAUUUAUCAGGCUGCUCUGGACUAGUUAUUUUACCAGACUCGCUUGGAGAUCUAUUAAGUUUGUUAAUAUAUUGAUUUAUCAGGCUGCUCCGGACUAAGAAAUCUACCUGAAUAAUUUGGGAAGCUAAUAAAUUUGGCACAUAUUGACUUAUCGGGUUGCUCUCGACUAGUAAACGUAUCGGAAACAUUUUGUAAGCUGACAAAUUUGUUGCAUAUUGACUUGUCAAGGUCCUCUGGACUUGUAAAGUUGCCAGAUUCAUUUGGGAAGCUAACUAGUUUGAAUCAUCUCAAUUUAUCAGGCUGCUCUGGACUAGAAAAACUGCCACAUUCAUUGGGGAAGCUAAUAAAUUUGGUCACAUCAACCUAUCACAGUGUUCUGAAAUAAUUAGUCCGCCUCCAUCGUUUGGGAAGCUAAUAUACUUGCUGCGCAUCAACCUAUCAGGGUGCUCUGCAUUGGUAAGCUUACCGGAACCAUUUGGGAAUCUCAUAAAUUUGGUGCAUAUCAACUUGUCAGGCUGCUGUGGACUAUUAAAUCUGCCUGGGUCAUUUGGGAAUUUAAUAAAUAUGUUGCACGUUGAUUUAGCAUGUUGCCAUGGACUAGGUAAACUUCCAGAAUCAUUCAGGAAGCUAAAGAAUUUGGCACACCUAGACUUAUCAUUCGGGUCUUGUUUUGAAGGGGUCGAGAAAGCUCUUGUUGGCCUUACCAAUCUCCAGCACUUGUACUCGUCACACCCUUGCUGUUAUCUUGCUCAACAGCAGUCCUGCCUCGAAGGGCUAAAAGAUGUUCUGGGCCAGCUCACAAGAUUAGAGUAUUUAAACCUAUCCAUGUUCCUGAAUCCUAUCUUUUACUCACAGUCAGUAGAGCGAACUUAUAAAUUGAUUGAAUUUAUUUUUCCAGUCUGGACCAUUUGGAUUUGUUCCAUAAUAGAUUUCUCCAUAAUCUACCUGAAAGUUUAGGUGAACUCAACAAUCUGCAAACACUGGACCUCUCAGGCUGCAUUAGAUUGAAGGGCAUAGCCAAAAGGAUAGGCGAAAUCAGGUCUCUCAAGUCGACGUGAGGAACUGCCGCAGUUUGAAAAGAUGUCAGCUUGUGGUUAAAGCUGAUAACGGAGAAGCAUAUUGGAACACAAACAUUGUUGAGCUCGAGCAUUCAAACUUGGAAGAUCUUCAGAUAAGCUGUCUUGAAAAUGUGAAGUCUAUAGAAGAUGCAGAACAAGUAAGAAUAGUACUGGAAGGAAAGGCUCAGAAGUGGAAACUUUGUUGGACUGUGAGCUCCCAAGGAUCCAUGGAGGUCAAUACUCUGUUUGAAGAAUUACUGCCAACAGGUCUGCGGUGCCUUGAGCUACAUGGUUAUAACGGGGAGACCUGCCUUUCAACCUGGUUGACAUCAACCAUAGAUUCUCAUGUCUUUACUCUUGUAGAGGUUACCAUUGAGGACAUGCCAAGGUGCAGCCGCCCACCACCACUGUGUUUGUUACUCAACCUGCGACGAGCAGUUUUCAGAAGGAUGGCUAGCAUCACAAGAUUCGAUGUCAAUGACCUAACUGGUGGAAACCGAGAAGCACUCCAUCGACUCCGCAAAUUCACCCUAGAGUUGGAUGAUUUGGAAAACCUGGAAGAGCUCAAGACCACAUACAACAGAAUUGGUAAGGAGCCUAUGCUCCCGGCCAUUGGUGAGCUGUUGAUUACGAAAUGCCCUAAGUUGUGCUUCGGACCUUUCAUGUCUAGAGUUCGGAGGUUGGUGGUCCCAGACUGCAGCGAGCUAAUGGUCUAUUCCAGAGGACGGCACAAUGUGGAGAGCCCUUAUAUCCUUGUUUCAAUAAAUGAACUGGUGGUCAGAAACUGCAAGGUAGCUCUAUAUAACUGAAAUUUGCUUCACAACCUCCCUGACCUCCAUAGUUUAACUGUCAAAGAUUGCAAAGAUCUGACGACUGUAUCAGAUACUAUUGAGGCCCUACCCUCCCUCCAAUCACUAUGCUUAUCUAAUUGUCGGGUGUGGACUCGCUAGAACAACACUUGGCUGGCCUCACCUCUUUCCGGGAACUGAAGAUCGCGUCCUGCAAUAUGUUCAAGGGAUUCACGCGGAGUUUGCAAAGACUCGCCUCCCUUGGGUCGAUGCAUCUUAGUGACUGCAACAGUAUCACGUCACUGCCGGAAUAGUUAGUAGAUCUCACCAAUCUAGAGAAGCUUGCAAUCCACAGAUGCCCUGCCGUUGAAUCUUUGCCGGACAGCAUAUAUAAAUUAACCAAUCUGAAGGAUCUGCAUAUUUUGGACUGUCCAAAAUUGCAGGGCUGGUGUGAAAGGGAGGAGAAGAAGAAAAUAAUGGACCACAUCCGACCAAACUAUGAGCAUGUACUAUAUUACUCUUAUGUUUCAUUUCCUUUCGCUGAGAGGAUGUAGCUUUCAAUGGUUACUGAUCUUGACUCAGUACUCUGUUUUACAUUCCUUGUGUUUGUUCAUGCUUUUUAUCUUGGAGGCCACUAAGCAGCGGCGCCGCAUCCAGGGCUUCCCGUGCGGCGGCCCUACUGCGUACGUCACCACUUCCAUCCAUCAUGUGAUCUCUUUUUGCCUCCACUCUAGUGAGCCAUUCAACGCUAUGGCAGGUUGAAACUUGCAUGCAAGGAAUCGUAAAAGUAUAAAAAAGAGACCCACUGCAUGCAUGCAAAGCCUCAUAAAAAAAAGAAGAAGGGUACAUGCAUUAUUCAAAAACUUUUAUCUCUUAAAUCGUUAAUUCGACCGAUGAUCCGUUUUCGCUGUUGACUUUGUUUCCAUGAAAUCUUCAAAACUAGAUCCCAUGUCGACAUGGUUCGACAACAUUUUUUUUUGCUUGUACUUACCACAUUUGUUGUACUUACUUGUCAUAUUAGUAAGUACUUACUUGUCUGAUAAAAAAUAACUUAAUCAUCAUAUUUUUAGAAAUUGUGAAUAAAUAUGACAUCUUGACAUAAUCAAACUGACAAACACAAACAACUUUUUUAGACGAUUACGCGUAAAAAUAUGACAACUCAACAUAUUUAAAACUGAUGACCACAAGAAAUACUUUUUGGUCAUCGUUUAUAAAUAUGACAACUCGGCAUAGUUAAACUAACAAGCACACAAAAUAGUUUUCUGGUAAAGUUGUAUGUAAAUAUGCAAGUUGGUAUAUUUUAAAUUGGCAAACACAACCGAUAACAUGCUUUUAUAUCAUGUAUAAUGAAAUCUCUUACAAUGCUUUUGUACGAAACAAACAUUAAAAAGUGACAAUCAAGUUAUUUUUUUGAGGCAAGUAAGUGAUUAAUAAUAUGGCAAGUACGAACGGAAAAAAAAUGUUGACGAAACGUAUUGACAUGGGAUCUAAUUUCGAAGAACUCGUCGGAAAUCGACAUGCUAAUUUCGUAGAACUCGUCAGGAGAAAGCCAAUGGUGAAAAACUGAAAACUGAUCAUCGAUUGGAUUAACGAUUUUGUAGAUAAAACUUUUUAAAUUUCAAACAUCAAAGGAAAUUGCACGUUGUCUGUAGCAUGCAAAACUCUUUUCCCUCCCUAAUCUAACGGUCCCACGCGAUAUGCUUAAAACGUCAACGCAGCCGUGCGCACGCUACGAAUUAGAUUUUCCCUUUUAUCUUUGGUGUGCUCGCGCAGAAUUCCUUCACAGUAAUAUAAGGCCCAUUACUAAUCUGAACUUUAUCUGUAGCUAACCAAGGGGUGUGUGUGUAUGUUGUUUAUUCUGCAGAGAACAUGGUACUAGCAGGCCAGGCAGCAAGGACGACGACGAUGUGGAGGGUGAAUUGGAGGACUGGUCGGACAGCAUGGACGAGGAGAAGCUAGAGGCAGUAUCAAUGGUUGCAGUGGACAAUUCAGUGGUAACAGACAGGCAACGCGGAUGUUGUAGCGGAGGAGAAGUCGGAGGCAGUAUUGACGAAUGCAUCGAGGAAUUCAGUUGUGACAGACAAGGCGGAUGUUGUAGCGGAGGAGGCUGAGGCAGUAUUGCCGGAUGCCGUGGAGAAUUCAGUGAUGACAGGCAACACGGACGCUGUAGUGGAAGAGGUGACGAGGGAUGUCGACGCAGAAGACGCAGCUGAUGUGUGCUUGGAGUUGCGACUGGGACUGACUGCCCAUAAAUGAAGAGCUGAUCCAAGUCGGAGGAGAAGAGGAUGAAAUUUCUCUACGACUGUAUUUAUAACACUGUUCUUCUUUCUCUCUACACUACUUUUCGGUCACACAGACAGAUACACAAUUUUCUUAGAUGUGUUAGACAUUGUAUAUCUCGUAUACACAUGGUAUAUGUAUAAGCCAUGUGUAUUACUACGUUGUAGGCGUGCGUGUGUUGGUUUAAACUAGGGAUAUCUUGUUAGGGUCUAUCUCUUGUGUUUAACUUGUAGAUAGAGAUAGAUCCUAACUCCUUGUUGUAAUCUUCUUGGUCUUGUGCCUUUAUUAAGACGCACGCGUCCCUGCUAACGCAUACGCUUCAAACCUCUCUAUUCUCACAUGGUAUAGAGCCUAUCUCUUCCACCCACGUUCAAACCUCCACCGCCGCUGCCGCCUCGUCCAAACCUUCCUCCACCGCCGCCGCCGCCAUGUCUUCCUCUUCCUCCACCCACGUUCAUGCCUCUUCCUCCCUCGCUGCCCUCGGUCACACCAUCACCGAGAAGCUCUCCCGAGACAAUUUUCUGGUGUGGAAAGCUCAAGUACUUCCUCACAUCAGGGCUGCCGGCCUCAUGGGGUAUCUUGACGGUACCACCACGGCGCCCCCUACCGUUCUUCAAACUGAAACGGACGUCGCCGGGAAGAAGGAGAUGGUCUCCACCACCAAUCCUGCCUACACCAUCUGGUAUACCCAAGAUCAACAAGUCCUCACCUUCCUGCUGGCCUCGCUCUCCCGGGAGGUUCUCAUGCAAGUUCAUGACAUCACCUCAUCCACCAGGGUCUGGCACAUGAUCUUGCAGCUAUUCGCCUCACAAUCCCGUGGGCGCGUCAUGCAGCUUCGGGGGCAACUCUCCACAACUCGCAAGGGCGAUCUCUCUGCGGCCGCCUACUACACCAAGAUGAAGGGCUUCGCCGACGAGCUUGCUGCGGUUGGGAAACCCGUUGAUGAAGAUGAGGUCGUGUCCCAUCUACUCCACGGGUUGGACUCCGACUACAACUCCUUCGUCUCGGCGAUCUCCACCCGUGCUGCAGCCGAUCACCCCAUCGGCCUCGGCGAAGUCUACUCUCUAGUACUCUCCGCCGAGUCCCGCCUCGAAGCACAGAACACCACGCUCUCCCACUCCCUGAACCUUGCGUCGAAGGGGGGUGGCCGUGGCUUUCCUGCUCGGCCUGCAGAGGGGCCAGAUCACCGCUUCAGUUCCAGCGGAGGUGCGCCUCCUCCAGGCCGCGGUGCUGCCUCCCCUCAAGGGCCCCUUGGUCCCCUUGUCUGUCAAAUCUGCAAGCUUGACGGCCAUGGGGCGUGGUCCUGCAAGAAGCGCUUCGACAAAACCUUCAACAACAAUCCCAAGCGCCGUGACAAGACUGCAAACACUGCCACUGCCUCCUACGGUGUUGACACCAAUUAGUACCUCGACACAGGUGCCACCGAUCACGUUACCGGCGAGCUGUAGAAGCUGACUAUGCGUGAUCGCUACACUGGACCGGAUCAGAUUCACAAUGCGAGUGGCCAAGGUAUGGAAAUUACACAUGUUGGUCAUGCACUUCUUCCUACUCCUCAUGAAUCUCUGAGGCUAAACAACAUCUUACAUGUCCCCACCGCAUCCAAAAGCCUUCUUUCUGGUCACCAACUUACCAAAGAUAAUCAUGCAUAUCUUCUUGUUUACCCCGAGUUCUUUUCUGUUAAUGAUCAGGAAACGGGGAGAACAAUCCUUCAAGGUCCAAGUAAACGUGGACUAUACCCCAUUGCUGGCCAGUCGGUAGAACCUGGACGUCAACUUCUUGGUGUCGUCAAGCCAUCUACCUCUAGGUGGCAUAGGCGCCUAGGUCAUCCAUCAAUCUAAGUGGUGCAGCAAAUUCUUCGUCACAAUAGUCUUCCCGUGUCAAAUAAAACUAAUCAUCACCUCGUUUGUGAUGCAUGUCAAAUGGCCAAGAGCCACCAAUUACCUUAUUGUCGUUCAACUAGUGUUUCCAAUGCUCCUUUAGAGCUAGUUUUUUCAGAUGUAUGGGGUCCUGGACCUCUUUCCAUUGGUAGACAGAAAUAUUAUGUCAGUUUCAUCGAUGAUUUUAGCAAGUUUAGUUGGAUUUAUCUCAUUAAAAAUAAAUCUGAUGUCUUCCAAAAGUUUCAUAUCUUCCAAGCUCUAGUUGAACGCUUAUUUGAUCGUAAAAUCAUUGCCAUGCAAACUGAUUGGGGUGGUGAGUAUGAAAAGUUAAACCAAUUCUUUGAACGUAUUGGUAUUACCCAUCAUGUUUCAUGUCCUUAUGCUCAUCAACAAAACGGGUCUGUUGAACGCAAACACCGUCACAUCGUUGAGGUUGGCCUAUCCCUCCUAGCACAUGCAUCCAUGCCUCUCAAGUUUUGGGAUGAAGCAUUCCUCACAGCCGUCUACCUUAUAAACCGUGUUCCUAGUCGUGUUAUUCAUAAUCAAACACCCUUGGAACACCUCUUUAACACUACACCAGACUAUUCCUCUCUUCGUAUUUUUGGUUGUGCGGUAUGGCCUAAUCUUAGGCCCUUUAACAAACAUAAGCUGGAGUACCGAUCCAAACAAUGUGUCUUUCUUGGUUAUAGCGCCCUUCACAAAGGCUAUAAGUGUCUUGAGGUUUCCACCGAUCGUGUUUAUGUUUCUCGCGAUGUGAUUUUUGAUGAACAUAUUUUUCCCUUUGCCGCACUACAUCCUAAUGCCAGUGCUCAAUUGCGCAAAGAACUCCUACUCCUUCCUCCACUUCUCCUUAAUCAUCCACCUCUCUCGGCUCCGGAGGAAGUGCAUACUAAUAAUGUGACAAUUUCUAAUACUAAUGGGCCUAACUCUGAUGCAAGUGUGCAGGAAUCUGUUCAUCCAGGUGCUUGCGACACUCAUGAUUUUCUGUGUGCAGAUUCUCCUACAGAUGCGGCCUCCACAGAAGAUCCGGCCGGCGCUGAAAACGGGGCUGAUCUCCCUGCCAAAUCAGCCUCGGGAUCACCCCCUCCGGCUGGGGCUGAAAACGGGGCUGGUAUCCCCGACAUUCCAGCCUCGGGAUCCCGACGCGCCAGCGGAUCCUUGCCGAUUUCCGCGCCCCAACCGCCUCCUGCCACGUCUCCAGAUCCGGUCUCGGGUGGCGCCUCCGACGCUCCCGCCUCGGGAUCUCGUGCUGCCAGCGGACCCCUGCUGGUCUCCGCGCCCCCGUCGCCUCCUGCCACGUCUCCCGAUCCGGCCUCGGGGUCAGGUUGCGCCGCGUCAACGUCGCCUGGACCGGACGCCUCCACCUCGGGUCUGGCGCGGUCCAGUGCCCACCCGCCCGACCGGCCCCAGGUGGUUCCUGUCGUGGUCGACACGCCCCGCCAGGAGACUGCUAUGGUCGGUUCUGCUGCCGACCUGUCGCUCCACGUGGCGCCACAGGACUCGCCGGCCUCCCCGAGUGCGUCAUCAUCCGCGGUCUCCUCUGACCUUCCUGUCGCACAUCGCCGUCAACAACAACUCCUCCCAGCUCCCCCACCAUCGUCAUCAACACGUGUUACUACCCGAUCCCGUACUGGUAUUAUUAAACCCAAAGAAUUUACCGAUUGAUGUAUUCGUUGGGGCUCCUUUUGUGCUACAGGUGAACCGCAGAAUUUAAAAGAAGCACUUGGUCAUCCAAAGUGGAGAGAAGCUAUGGAUGAGGAGUAUCGUGCACUCAUGGACAACCAAACUUAGCACUUGGUCACACCUCGCGCAGGUACAGAUCUUAUCGACUGCAAAUGGGUGUAUAAAGUCAAACACAAAUCUGAUGGUAGUAUUGAUCGCUAUAAAGCACGUCUCGUUGCAAAAGGGUUUAAACAACGUUAUGGUCUUGAUUAUGAGGAUACUUUCAGUCCCGUUGUUAAAGCCGCUACCAUCAGAUUGGUUCUGUCUAUAGCUGUCUCUAGAAAUUGGUGUAUGCGACAGUUGGACGUUAAGAACGCGUUUUUGCAUGGUGUUCUGGAAGAGAAUGUUUUUAUGCGACAACCACCUGGGUAUACGGAUCCAAGGUUUCCACACUUGGUCCGUAAACUGGAUAAAGCUCUGUAUGGUCUGAAACAGGCAUGCCGUGCAUGGUACUCUCGCUUGUCUUUCAAGCUUCAGUCUCUUGGUUUUCAACCCUCCAAGAGUGAUACCUCACUAUUCUUUUAUUCUCGGAGAGGGGUGACUAUCUUUAUGCUCAUAUAUGUGGAUGACAUUAUUGUUACUAGUUCCUCUGUACAAGCAGUUGAAGCUCUCCUCAGUGAUCUUCGCAUGGACUUUGCACUCAAAGAUCUCGGAUCCCUGCAUUAUUUUCUUGGUAUUGAGGUAACUUCUACUGAUAAUGGUAUUGCUUUAUCUCAAGGGAAAUAUUUGCUUGAUCUGCUUCAACGAGUCAAUAUGAAUGGUUGCAAACCUGCAAGUACUCCUUUCUCUACUUCUGACAAGCUGUCUUUGUUUGAUGGACAUCCUCUUGGAGAUGGGGAUUCUACCAACUAUCGGAGUAUUGUCAAUGCUUUGCAAUACUUAACUCUCACUAGACCAGAUAUUUGUUUUUCAGUCAACAAGGUCUGUCAAUUCUUACAUGCUCCCACCUCUGUUCACUGGACGGCAGUCAAGCGUAUACUUCGGUAUUUACAAGGAACUAUCACCCAUGGUCUUCGUAUUUCUAAGUCAGAUUCCAUGUUAGUCAGCGUAUUCUCUCAUGCAGAUUGGGCUGGUUGUCCUGAUGAUAGAAAGUCUACUGGUGGCUUUGCUGUUUUUGUUGGUAGUAAUCUUGUGUCUUGGACUGCACGCAAGCAACCUACAGUUUCUCGCUCUAGCACAGAGGCUGAGUACAAAGCACUUGCUAAUGCUAUUGCCGAGGUAAUAUGGGUACAUAACCUUUUGACUGAGCUCGGUAUUUCUCAUCCUAAGUCUGCCUCCCUAUGGUGUGAUAAUUUAGGAGCUACAUACUUAUCUGCCAAUCCUAUUUUUCAUGCACGAACAAAGCAUAUUGAAAUUGAUUAUCACUUUGUCCGUAAGAGAGUUGCUCAGAAACUGCUCCACAUACGGUUUAUUCCCACUGGUGAUCAAGUGGCUGAUGGCUUUACUAAAACUCUUACUCUUCGCCAGUUGGAAGUUUUUCGUCGCAAUCUCAACUUGGAUAAGUUGUGAUUGAGGGGGAGUGUUAGACAUUGUAUAUCUCGUAUACACAUGGUAUAUGUAUAAACCAUGUGUAUUACGUUGUAGGCGUGCGUGUGUUGGUUUAAACUAGGGAUAUCUUGUUAGGGUCUAUCUCUUAUGUUUAACUUGUAGAUAGAGAUAGAUCAUAACUCCUUGUUGUAAUCUUCUUCGUCUUGUGCCUUUAUUAACACGCACGCAUCCCUGCUAACGCAUACACUUCAAGCCUCUCUAUUCUCACAAGAUGGACACGCACAGUAACAUUGGUUUGGUUAUGCUUUGAUUCCCUCGUGUUUACAGGGCCUGCAGAACUUCUCUUGUAUUCACAUCGACUAUCUACCUAAUUACGACGGGGCUGACGAUCAUAGUAAUCUAAUGAAGUAGUAGUAGUAGUACUAGUUGUAUGUGUAGUGUGUAGGCGUGUCAUGGAUGGCCGAUAUCGGAAAUGGACGCCCAGUGGCCGCCAUAGUAAUCUAGUGAGUACUCUCCGAAGCUGUUUGGUUCAGACAAACGGAGCAGAACGCCGGAGGGCAGAUUGGAAGGAGCAGUACCUCAUGCCGAGAAUGGGAUCGGCGGCCGCCGCCGCCGCCGCUGCGCUGCUCGUGAAGUAGCGUUGAAGGAGGGAGAGGUCGACGCUCUCCAUCGCCACCAGCGCCGCCGCACGACUCGAUGUAGAAGAUUUGGGGGCGGAGGGGUCGACAGCAGAGGAGCAGAGGCGUCGAUUUGGACGGAGCCGGGAGACGAAGCGGUACC
rnacentral:lncRNA from 1 species